rnacentral:misc_RNA from 1 species
CACUCACUCUCUGGUGUGGUUUUCCUGGUCACUGCUGUAAGCGCUCUCAUUGUCGGUGCUGUUUUCGUCAUAUAAAUAAAUUUCACUGCCACUGGUACUUCCAGUACUGCCAGCAGUAUGAGAAGCUAGCUGCGACGGAAUCGAAGGCAGCGUAGCCGUGGUAGGUGCUCCGCAAUGCGGUGGCAGAGCUGGAAUCGCAGGAUUUCCAAGGAAACUAUGAGCCUCGUACAUGUACUGGCGAUUCAUCAUGUCUAAUUCCAAAUUAUCCAUAGAAUACAUCUUGAAGAGGCUUGUCUUAUACUUAAAUUUCUUUGAUCGAUGUAGAAAUUUGGAAGAUUUGAUUUUACACUGUAGUUUUUACUUGAGAAUCUCUCAAGUGAGAUCCAAACGUUUCCAUCACGAGUUACAGGAUACUUUGAACGUUUGACUUCACACUGUAGUUUCUAGUUGAGAAUCUCUCAGAGGGGAUGCACAUUCAAAUUUAAUACAAGAAGCAUCCUUGAGACCAGUCACAAUGCUUUUAUACAACCUCUGAGCCCUGUCUAUAUGGACACUAUAGUCUUCUUUGAACGCGGAAGAACCAAUAUCUUCGACCUAAUACAGGAAAUAUUGAACAGAUUAUUGAGAUCACGGACGACGCUGCUGUGUAAUUUCUGAGUGCUUCCUGGAACGCUAUAUAGGGUUUUUUGAACGCAGAAGAGACAAUUCUUCAAACUCAAUGCAAGGGACAUUGAAUGGAUUCAAUUAAACUGGGAUCAGCAGGCAGUUUUCGUUGAAAUUUCCAACGAAUUCCAAUGCAAGCACCCUCGAUCACGUCCCGGGGAUCACUGAUACCAUCGACGUGACACGUGGCCUCAGCGCGUGCUAGGAAAUACUUCUAAACAGCGGCACGUGCCAGCAGGAAACCAGGACACGUGUCCAG